rnacentral:rRNA from 1 species
UACGAAGGGGGCUAGCGUUGUUCGGAUUUACUGGGCGUAAAGCGCACGUAGGCGGAUCGUUAAGUCAGAGGUGAAAUCCUGGAGCUCAACUCCAGAACUGCCUUUGAUACUGGCGAUCUUGAGUCCGGAAGAGGUGAGUGGAACUCCUAGUGUAGAGGUGGAAUUCGUAGAUAUUAGGAAGAACACCAGUGGCGAAGGCGGCUCACUGGUCCGGUACUGACGCUGAGGUGCGAAAGCGUGGGGAGCAAACAGG